GGACCCGCACAAGUAGUGGAGCAUGUGGUUUAAUUCGAAGAUACGCGCAGAACCUUACCAACACUUGACAUGUUCGUCGCGACUUUAAGAGAUUAAAGUUUUCGGUUCGGCCGGACGAAACACAGGUGCUGCAUGGCUGUCGUCAGCUCGUGUCGUGAGAUGUUGGGUUAAGUCCCGCAACGAGCGCAACCCUCACUUUUAGUUGCCAUCAUUUAGUUGGGCACUCUGAAAGAACUGCCAGUGAUAAGCUGGAGGAAGGUGGGGAUGACGUCAAGUCCUCAUGGCCCUUACGUGUUGGGCUACACACGUGCUACAAUGGUAUUUACAACAGGAAGCAAGACGGCGACGUUAAG
rnacentral:rRNA from 1 species